rnacentral:rRNA from 1 species
GAUCCUGGCUCAGGAUGAACGCUAGCGGCAGGCUUAACACAUGCAAGUCGAGGGGCAGCACGAGGGUAGCAAUACUUUGGUGGCGACCGGCGCACGGGUGCGUAACGCGUAUGCAACCUACCUUUAACAGGGGUAUAACACUGAGAAAUUGGUACUAAUUCCCCAUAACAUUCGAGAAGGCAUCUUCUUGGGUUAAAACUACCGGUGGUUAAGAUGGGCAUGCGUUGUAUUAGCUAGUUGGUGAGGUAACGGGCU